CAUGCACCAGCGGGGUCCCUUGGCCUGGCCUGUGCCCUCUCGCAAUCCAGGACCCCUCGGAGGAUAUUGGAGAGACAGUUUCAGCCCGAUCCCCACAGGCCAGGCCGAGGGACCCCACUGGUGCACA
rnacentral:pre_miRNA from 1 species